rnacentral:rRNA from 1 species
UACGGGGGGGGCAAGCGUUGUUCGGAAUUACUGGGCGUAAAGGGCUCGUAGGCGGCCAACUAAGUCAUACGUGAAAUCCCUCGGCUUAACCGGGGAACUGCGUCUGAUACUGGAUGGCUUGAGUUCGGGAGAGGGAUGCGGAAUUCCAGGUGUAGCGGUGAAAUGCGUAGAUAUCAGGAGGAACACCGGUGGCGAAGGCGGGUCUCUGGGCCUUACCUGACGCUGAGGGGCGAAAGCAUGGGGAGCAAACAGG